CCGCUCCGAGCUCCCGGCGCGCGUGGCGGGGCUGCGCGGGUUUCUCUUCCUGGAUCGGCCCCGGGGCUCAGGACGUCCAACGCUCCGCCUUGCAGGCGGGAUUUGGCCAACGAGGGGGACUCCAAAGUUGGAGUUUGAGAAAAGUGGAUGGAUGGUGCUGACAUUUAUCUGAGGAAUGAAGGGUAAUUUUCGCGAGCGGGAAAGAAGCCAAUUUCGAGAGAUGCUGGGAUCAGGACAGGAGGGGUAAGAUCAUGAUUUUAGGUGAGGACUUUCAGAGCUUGAGGUUCCCAGGCUAGGGAUUGAAUCGGAGCUGUAGCCACCGGCCUACGCCAGAGGCACAGCAACGCAGGAUCCGAGCCGCGUCUGCAACCUACACCACAGCUCACGGCAACGCUGGAUCCUUAACCCACUGAGCAAGGCAGGGACCGAACCCGCAACCUCAUGGUUCCUAGUCGGAUUCGUUAACCACUGCGCCACGACAGGAACUCCUUUUUUUUUUUUUUUUUUAGGCUGUCUUUAGGCAUGAACAUUGUUAGAAACUUUCUUUCUCUUUGCUUUUCAAGACCACACUAGUGGCAUAUGGAUGCUCCAAGGCCAGGGGUCUAAACAGACCCACAGAUUCCAGCCUACGCCACAGCAACGCCAGAUCUGAGCCACCUCUGCGACCUACACCACAGCUCACGGCAAUGCUGGAUCCUUAGCCCACACGUGAGGCCAGGGAUCGAACCUACAACCUCAUGGUUCCUAGUUGGAUUCGUUUCCAUUGCGCCAUGAAGGGAACUCCAGAAACUUUCUUCCCGAGGUGAAAUUCUAUAAAUCUGAGGCUUGGGGCCUUGGUGAGGAACUCUCUUUCCCACAGGUAAAGUGGGCUGUGGCUUUCUUCCCUUUGCUUAGAGCCAGGUACUUGCAUCUCCACGCAUACCUGCCUACCCUGCUAGAGUCACCCUUUCUAACCCAGGCGACUUCAACUUGGGGGGGUCCUUCCUCAGCCUGGCCUGCAGUUCCGUCCUUUCUGGAAAAAGCUGCUACCACAACCACUAGCUGAGCAAUGAAAAGUUCUCAACUCUGAAAAUUUCAUACCAGAUUGAUACUGAACCCAGUUUUGCUGGGCUUGCCACGUGACAGCCCAGUACAAUCGGAGUCAAGUUGUUGAGCCUCUGGAUCGAACCUGCGACCUCAUGGAUACUAGUCAGGUUCCUUAACCACUGAGCGACAACGGGAACUCCAAUAUAUAGCUUUUUGUAUGUCAACCAUACCUUAGUCAAGUGGUUUUCAAAAAAUGUAACCAAGGAGUUCUCUUGUGGGACAGCGGGUUUGGGAUCCAGCAUUGUGGUGGGGGUUUGAUUCCCGGCCUGGUGCAGUGGGUUAAGGAUCUGGUGUUGCUGCAGCUGUGGUGAAGGUCGCCGCUGUGGCUGGGAUUCAGUCCCUGGCCUGGGAACUUCCAUAUGCCAUGGGUGCAGCCAAACAAUUAAAAUUAAGACUCUUCCUCAUUCAAUUUUUACCACAUGGUGGGUGCUAAGUUUUUACAUAUAUUCUGUUUAAUUUAAUAUUCUUGUCACUCCUAGGACAUAGUUGUCCCCUGCUAUCCAUGGGGGCUUGGUUCCAGAACUCCUGGACACCAAAGUCCUUGGGAUGAGGGUGGAGCGGGAGAGUUGCACAGGUAGUGGCGGAAGUCCCUUCAGGAACUACAGGCAGACAGGGAGACCCGGGGGCCUUUGGGAGAUCACUCUACGUCAACAACUGCCCAAGAAUGCCAUCAGAACGAGGCAGGCUUGCUCGAUUCGUGGAGAGCCUGAGAUGUGCUUCAGGCCAUUGGAUGGGAGAUGGGGUGAGACAGGCAUUCAAGUUCAGACCAAGGGCAGGAGGUUAAGGACCACCCUUCUGCUGAUUUGAAUAAGCACCCUGACAGUCCUAAUUUGACCUUAGAGGGUCAAAUACUCUCUUACUGGAUACGAAGUUGGAGCUACUACUGGAAGAAAGAGGAAGAGGCGGUCUUUUCCCACCCCCACUGCCCUUGGAUUAUAAAACUGCAGCCCAUUGAAUCCUCAGGGCAGAGCCUCCUUGCUGCCCACUUGCAUCUCUCACAAGCAUCCUAUCUUAACAAAUCUAUUUCUUGCCCAUCACUUUGUCUCUCACUGAAUUCCUUGGCGCUGAGACACAACGAACCUGAACUUCAGGAAGUCCAGACACAGGGUAAGUGAUUCUAAUUUAAAAACUGUGGAUUCAAGUACCAAUCCGGGUUCUGACAGGACUCGAGUCCCGGCACACGGUUUCUAGAACCCAUCCUGGCACAUGGGUUCUAAGUUCAAGUCACAAGUGCUGUCAGUGUCACUUGGAUGCUCAAGUCCCUCCUAUAAAAUGGUAUACAAUUUGCUUAUAACCUACUCAUAGCCUCCUUAUACUUUAAAUCAUCUCUAGAUUACUUCGCAUACCUAAUAAAAUGUAAAUGCCAUGUAAAUAAUUGUAAAAACUAUAUAAACAAUUGUGAGUGCACAGCAAAUUCAAGUUCCGCUUUUUGGAAAUUCUGUAACUUUUUCCCGCUGAACUGUCCAUCCUCCUUUGGUUGAAUGUGAAGAUGUGGAACCUGUGGAUAGGGAGGCGUGAUUGUAUUAUUAUUAUUCCCAUUUUGCAGAUGAGAACAGUUCCUGAGAGGCUGCUGCCAAAGACUGCAAAGCUCUUUGUGAGGCAUCCAGGUUGGAUUUGAUCCAGAGCCUGCCUGUCUCCAGAGCAUGGGCCCUGAAUCAUGAUGUCAUAGAGCUUUCCUGCUUCCUAUGAUGGCAUAGAGGAUUAUAUCAGGAUGCAUAAUCUGGGGCUGUAUGGGAGCUCCUAGUCUGAUUUUUCUCUACAGCAAUACUUGAAGAUACAACAAGGACAGGAGCAGCUGAUGAGGCUGGACUGUUCAUUGUCCGGCAGUUCCUCCCUCCACCCCUUCUACCUUGUAAUGGAUUUUGAGAAGCCUUCCGGCUCACUGGGCAGUUGUGAGCAUUACCUAGGCUACAGGUGAACAUUUAUAUAAUCUUAAUUUAAUAGUGAAGACUUGGGUAUGGUAAAAGACUCAUUUAUCCAACCGAUAAGCAAUGCUGUACCACAUAUUACAUUAGAAUAAAAAUAUAGGAAUAAAAGGGAGUUCUCACCAUGGCUCAGCAGUCAACGAACCCAACUAGUAUCUAUGAGGACGCAGGUUCUAACCCUGGCCUUGCUCAGUGGGUCGAAGAUCUGGCAUGGGAGUGAGUUGUGGUGUAGAUUGCAGACCCGGCUCAGAUCCCACGUCGCUGUGGCUGUGGUGUAGGCUGGAAGCUGGAGCUCUGAGUCAGUCCCUAACCUGGGAACCUCCAAGUGCCACAGGUUCGGCCCUAAAAGGACCAAAAAAAAAAAAAAAAAAAA
rnacentral:lncRNA from 1 species